rnacentral:lncRNA from 1 species
AAAACCAAGAUGACUAAAUUCUCGUGAUUUACCAUACACUUCUUUCUUCCAAGCCGCCACCAAAAUAAUGGGAAACAUGUCCCUCUUCCAGCAGCGUGACGAUGCUAUCUCCAAGCAGUGAAUUUAAGUUCACUUUCUCCAAACAUGAGUAACCGUGCACUGCCUCUUGUAGCCAAAUGCCAAAAUUAAAUGUAACUUCAAUUGAAAUGAAAAACACAUAACCAAAUUCCCUCCUCCCAUCAUUCAAAAGCUGUGGCAGCCAACCUAUAUUCCCUAAGAAAGUAAAAUAAAUAAAUCACACAAUGAUAAAAGGACUCACAUCCACGGACCCACACUCACCUAAUCUAACUCUCAUAUUAUGAAAACAAAAUAAAAAAAAAAUGCUAAAUUCCUCCCAGAACCCUCUACACACAGGCCGUGGCACACCAACUAAUCAAGCCAUCACUUCUUCAUUCUAAGGGAAAUAAAGGAAAAGAACCUAACCAAAAUUCACCUACCCACACGUCCCAUCACCUCCUAAACUCCAACCUAAUAUACUCCUCAUUCAUAGAAAAAAAAAAAACAAAAGAAAAUGGCAAUUAGCAAUUCCCCUGCUGGAUGUAGCGUACAACUCAUCAUUCUAAUCAUCAAAGAAAAAACCAAGAACAAGUGUGUAUAUCUCUGCAGCUAGAAAAAUGUUCCAGACCCUAUAAAAAAAUAAAAUGACGGCUACUGCUGGCCAAAUCUCUAGGCACCGUUCCAGCAUUUUAAAAAAAUGUUGCAGCCCAAAAAAAAUUGAAUCUGCCGAGACACCCCUGCAAGUUAAGUUUCCUCUACCAAAUGUUCCAGCCAAAUUAAAAGUUCUGGGUCUGGCCAAAAAAAAAACUGUAAGUGACGGCUGGUGGAAAAAUUCAUUCAACCAAAAUCAAAUAAUUGAAACAUGGUUCAAGCUCUCUAGCAAAAAUAGAAAAAAACACGUUGCAACCUAGAAUGAAUGAAAAACUGCCGAGAGUGUGAGUCUCUCUUCCCAGUGAGUGACGGCUGUUAGGUUUUUCCUAGGAUUAAGUGUCUUAAAAUAUAGGGUGGGGUCCACCCAAAAACCCUAGAGUAGGACAUGUGUCUCACAAAGUUUUGGGUUUUUACAAAUUUGCCACUAAAAAGGGCCCAUUGCACGAAAGCUUAAUUUAAAGCUUCUAAUCAACUAAGUUACAAUUUAAUUAAAAUUUGACUAAUCCUAAAGUGUCUUUGUGGAGAGUCUUCACUUAAUUGGUGCCCUUCCAAAAGUCUCACAAUGUGAUUCCAAAAUUUCCUUGAAAAAUAAAAAUAGGAAUAAUUAAGCUCAAUUAAUUCAAAUUAAUUAAAAUCAGAAUUAUUGGUCUAAUUAAGCCCAAAUGGUGAAAAUGACACAAUAACUAAGAAUUAAGCACAAUUCAUCAACACAAUUCGGUGCAAAAAACUAAGUGAAUGGUAUAAAAUAUCGACUCAUCAAGGGCUCAACAACAAAGCUGCCUUUAUCACUUCCA